rnacentral:rRNA from 1 species
UACGUAGGGUGCAAGCGUUGUCCGGAAUUAUUGGGCGUAAAGAGCUCGUAGGUGGCCUGUCGCGUCGGCUGUGAAAACUCGGGGGCUCAACUCCGAGCUUGCAGUCGAUACGGGCAGGCUAGAGUUCGGCAGGGGAGACUGGAAUUCCUGGUGUAGCGGUGAAAUGCGCAGAUAUCAGGAGGAACACCGGUGGCGAAGGCGGGUCUCUGGGCCGAUACUGACGCUGAGGAGCGAAAGCGUGGGGAGCGAACAGG